rnacentral:rRNA from 1 species
UACGUAGGGACCGAGCGUUGUCCGGAAUCAUUGGGCGUAAAGAGCGUGUAGGCGGCCACUUAAGUCCUGCGUGAAAUCUUGCGGCUCAACCGCAAGCGGUCGUGGGAAACUGGGUGGCUAGAGUGCGGGAGAGGAGAGUGGGAAUUCCUGGUGUAGCGGUGGAAUGCGCAGAUAUCAGGAAGAACACCCGUGGCGAAGGCGGCUCUCGUGGAACGCAACUGACGCUGAGACGCGAAAGCGUGGGGAGCAAACAGG